rnacentral:tRNA from 1 species
UAUUUUUCUAAUACAAAAGUAUAGUUGGCUUCCAACCAACGUGUUUGAGACUCUCAAGAAAAAUAA